CCAGGUCCAUUCCUGGGUUCCCAGAAAAUGUCUACAAGUCAUAUAUUUUGCAGAGGCUUAUAAAGGCAAACCCAUAAGGUUACAUUUUUCUCAGCAGGUCCAAUCAGCGGCAAGCAUAUAUCCUGAAGCACUUCUUGUCUGUGUACCUCCCACUUACAUCCAAUCAGGGGCAAGCAUACAUCCUGAUGUAUUUCCUGCCUACGUACCUCACACCUACAUCCAGUACGAUUAGGCCGAAUAAACUUGUUUAAGGGAGUGAAGCAUCUGGCUUGUUUUCUCCCAUAAGCAAUAGCUUCCAGCAUUUCGGGGAAAGAUCUGUCCUUGGGCAAGACACUUAAAGGUUAGCAACAGUUUUUUGUUCCAUGGAUCUCUUAGGCACAGUAAUUAAAACUUAAAACAUACCUUUUUGGCUCUUACAACGUUUGCCUUGCAAGCCAGAGGACCCGAGUUUGAUCCCCUUCAGAUCCUGUCAGCUUUUCAGGCAACGGGCAGAAUCCAGAAAGGUAACAGCACAAGGAUAUGGGAAUCUUUGCAGGACCGGUGGCUUUCCUUCCUUCCUUUUUCCAUUUAUCCUUUCUUUAGAAGGCAGAUAAGGCGGCAUUAUUGAUUGAGGAGU
ensembl:processed_transcript Gm13663 predicted gene 13663